GGCCCCUCAGGGGCAGCAGGGCCCGGCUACAGCCCGGGCUCGUGGGCGCGCCUGAGAUGUGUCAGCACACAUUUAUAUCCAUCGUGGGAGGCGCUCAGGGAGAACAGGCCGGGUGGGAUGUGGGAUAGUAGCGAGGAGCCUCCCCGGCACCGCGCCGGUAGCAGAACAGCCCAGCCCGGCUGUUGUGUGGGUAACCCGGCCCAAAGCCGCCCCUCCACAUGAGGCAGGAAAACCUUCCCUGCGGCUCACUCCGGCCAAAACCACCCUCAGGACUGGGGCUCUCCAUGAGACGAGCGGGGGGAGCAGCAUAGCACAGCCCGGGAGCCGUGCGGGGAGCGGGGGGUGAGGCAGGAGCGAGCCACGCUGGAAACGCGCCCAUGGCCGGACUCUGACCGGGGAGAGCCAGCUCAGCCCGCAGCGAGGGGUGAAUCACGGCAGCAACAGCAGCGGCAGCUGCCAUGAGGCAGCUCCAGCCUCACGGUCUGGCCCCGGACAUGUCCCAUGCAGGAUAUUCCCGUAGGCCGGGUCACCUGAGCGCUGUGUGCACGGAGCCUGCUCAGGGUUCAUUAACGCGCUUGGGGAUGCCGUGAAUGGAGUCAGCCAGAAGUGGAAACCUUUGUAAAGUCUUUGUGUCUGUUCUUGCCCUGAUUUUUCACCCUGUAACUUGGUGCCUUCGUUAACGCCUGUGAAGUUCCCGCUGCUGUUCUGUUGGAGCCGGGUCCGGGAGCGCCUCUCCCCGCCGGGCUGGGGGUGCCUCGGGGCGUUUGCCCAUCCCCACACACAGCCCUGGCCACAAAGUACCUGUUGGGCACGGCCAGGAGCAGAGCAUCCAUCCAUGAAGAGCUGGAAGUUCAAACACCUGCUGAUGUGGCUGCUGGAAGAGCUGGGACGGGAAUUCCUGCAGCCUCCCCGACCUGGAGAAGGCUCUGAAGGCACACUGGCUCAGCCCAUGGGGCUGCUCCCUCCUGGCACAGCUCCCAGUGCUGUGAUCCCGUUAGGAGUGAGCACAGCUUAGACCAAACACAGCCGAAGAGCUGACACAUGAUUUCAGGGGAAGCUUUGCAGAGCUGGGAUCCUGGAGGAAAAGCCCCUUUGAAGCAGUCCCCAAGAAGAGCCUGGAUCAGCCAGGCAGGAUCCCGAUGUCCCCACCUCUGCAGUGGCAAAGCCUUCUCUGCCAUUCAUCCCUAUCGGCUCUUUACAAAAGCUGCUUGUUUUCCCAAGUGUUGCCUUUUUUUCUCUCUCUCUCUUUUUUUUUUUUUUUUUUUUUCACGUGUGAUUUAAUUCACACAAACUCCUUCCUCUUCUGACUAUUGAUCUUGGCUCCUUACUGGUUAAAAUAAACGAAAUCUUUCAUAA